GUAGCUUGUAUAUUCGAUUUGAAAUUUUCAUACGUUCUAGCCAGGUGGGAGGGGACCGCAUCAAAUUCAAGAAUAUUAAAGUAUGCAUUAAACAGACUUGAGGAUUCUUUAGUUAUUUUCGAAGGUAAUCAAAAUAUAUUGAAUUUUAAUAAGUAAUGUAUAAGUUUGAAGAAAAAGUUACAACUCAAUUUAUUCAUUGUUUGUAGAUAAGUUAUACCUUGUGGAUGCUAGUUUCAUCUUGCAGGGUAGAAUAAUUACUCCAUAUAGGGGAGAAUGUUACCAUUUGAGUGAAUACUCAAGGAAUCCACCACGCAAUGCUCGUGAGCUAUUUAAUCUUUGACAUGAGCCUUUUAAUCUUCGACAUGCUUCUUUACGUAAUGCAAUUAAAUGUGCCUUUGGAGUUCUUAAGAAAUGUUUUUCAAUUAUUUCAAUCUCU
rnacentral:lncRNA from 1 species